GGCGCUGUAGUGUAGCGGUUAUCACUCAAGAUUCUGACUCCUGAAUUCUUGGAACCCAGGUUCGAUUCCUGGCAGUGCCU
rfam:Laccaria bicolor S238N-H82 LACBIscaffold_3 genomic scaffold, whole genome shotgun sequence.